UCCCCAUAAACAGGCUACAUUUCUCCUAAUGCCUGCUUCAUCUCUCUUUAUUUUAUUCCACCUGCCUGACCAGUGACCCACACAGCUGAGUUGGCAUCACCGCAGAGCAGCCCUUGUCUUUCAGGUCCAGGCUAAGUUGGCAUCCACGGUUUCCAAGCUGCAUGGAGAGGAGGGCCUGAGGCUGCAGGGGUCGAAGGAGUUUGAGCAGCGCCAGAGGACGCUGAUGGAGCUGCAGGACCAGCUAGACCCCCACCUAGACCAGACCACACGGAGGACGCUGAUGGAGCUGCAGGACCAGCUAGACCCCCACCUAGACCAGACCACACGGAGGACGUGUCCGAGCGGAAGGAGCGUCUGGAAAAGGAGGAGAAGCUGUCGAAGGACCUGGGUAAGGCUGCCACUAAACUUCAGUCAGGAGCUACUCGCCAAAGAGAAGGACACAGUCAACGUCCUCAGGGACCAACUUAUAGGAAAGGUAACAGACAAAUAUGACCUAAGGCCAUAUUAUAACGGUGUUAAUUAUCGGACGGCGUGUGUUAUCGGC
rnacentral:lncRNA from 1 species